CAGCAGCCGCGGGAAUACGAAGGGGGCUAGCGUUGUUCGGAUUUACUGGGCGUAAAGGGCGCGUAGGCGGACUGAUAAGUCAGGGGUGAAAUCCCAAGGCUCAACCUUGGAACUGCCUUUGAUACUGUUUGUCUUGAGUUCGAGAGAGGUAAGUGGAACUGCGAGUGUAGAGGUGAAAUUCGUAGAUAUUCGCAAGAACACCAGUGGCGAAGGCGGCUUACUGGCUCGAAACUGACGCUGAGGCGCGAAAGCGUGGGGAGCAAACAGGAUUAGAUACCCCCGUAGUCCCUGUCUCUUAUAC
rnacentral:rRNA from 1 species